rnacentral:rRNA from 1 species
AUUGAACGCUGGCGGCAUGCCUUACACAUGCAAGUCGAACGGCAGCACGGGGCAACCUGGUGGCGAGUGGCGAACGGGUGAGUAAUGCAUCGGAACGUACCUUUCAGUGGGGGAUAACGUAGCGAAAGUUACGCUAAUACCGCAUAUUCUGUGAGCAGGAAAGCAGGGGAUCGCAAGACCUUGCGCUGAUUGAGCGGCCGAUGUCAGAUUAGCUGGUUGGUGAGGUAAAGGCUCACCAAGGCGACGAUCUGUAGCGGGUCUAAGAGGAUGAUCCGCCACACUGGAACUGAGACACGGUCCAGACUCCUACGGGAGGCAGCAGUGGGGAAUUUUGGACAAUGGGGGCAACCCUGAUCCAGCCAUGCCGCGUGAGUGAAGAAGGCCUUCGGGUUGUAAAGCUCUUUCGGCCGGGAAGAAAUCGCACGGGCUAAUACCCUGUGUGGAUGACGGUACCGGAAUAAGAAGCACCGGCUAACUACGUGCCAGCAGCCGCAGUAA